rnacentral:rRNA from 1 species
ACUCAAAUGAAUUGACGGGGGCCCGCACAAGCAGCGGAGCAUGUGGUUUAAUUCGACGCAACGCGAAGAACCUUACCUGGGCUUGACAUGUGCCUGACCGCCGUGGAAACACGGUUUCUCUUCGGAGCAGGUUCACAGGUGGUGCAUGGCUGUCGUCAGCUCGUGUCGUGAGAUGUUGGGUUAAGUCCCGCAACGAGCGCAACCCCCGUCGCAUGUUGCCAGCAUUUAGUUGGGGACUCAUGCGAGACUGCCGGUGACAAACCGGAGGAAGGUGGGGAUGACGUCAAGUCAUCAUGCCCCUUAUGUUCAGGGCUACACACGUGCUACAUUGGCGCAUACAGAGGGCUGCGAUACCGCGAGGUGGAGCGAAUCCCUCAAAGUGCGUCUCGGUUCGGAUUGCAGGCUGAAACCCGCCUGCAUGAAGGUGGAGUUGCUAGUAAUCGCGGAUCAGCAUUGCCGCGGUGAAUACGUUCCCGGGCCUUGUACACACCGCCCGU